CCUACGGGAGGCAGCAGUGAGGAAUAUUGGUCAAUGGACGAGAGUCUGAACCAGCCAAGUAGCGUGAAGGAUGACUGCCCUAUGGGUUGUAAACUUCUUUUAUAUGGGAAUAAAAUGUUCCACGUGUGGGAUUUUGUAUGUACCAUAUGAAUAAGGAUCGGCUAACUCCGUGCCAGCAGCCGCGGUAAUACGGAGGAUCCGAGCGUUAUCCGGAUUUAUUGGGUUUAAAGGGAGCGUAGGUGGAUUGUUAAGUCAGUUGUGAAAGUUUGCGGCUCAACCGUAAAAUUGCAGUUGAAACUGGCAGUCGUGAGUACAGUAGAGGUGGGCGGAAUUCGUGGUGUAGCGGUGAAAUGCUUAGAUAUCACGAAGAACUCCGAUUGCGAAGGCAGCUCACUGGACUGCAACUGACACUGAGGCUCGAAAGUGUGGGUAUCAAACAGGAUUAGAUACCCCUGUAGUU
rnacentral:rRNA from 1 species